ACGACUCUCGACAACGGAUAUCUCGGCUCUCGCAUCGAUGAAGAACGUAGCGAAAUGCGAUACUUGGUGUGAAUUGCAGAAUCCCGUGAACCAUCGAGUCUUUGAACGCAAGUUGCGCCCGAAGCCAUUAGGCUAAGGGCACGUCUGCCUGGGUGUCACGCAU
rnacentral:rRNA from 1 species